GCGUCCAUCGUCUAAUGGAUAGGACAUAGGUCUUCUAAACCUUUGGUAUAGGUUCAAAUCCUGUUGGACGUA
rnacentral:tRNA from 1 species